ACGCUGGCGGCAGGCUUAACACAUGCAAGUCGAACGGUAACAGGAAUUAGCUUGCUAAUUUGCUGAUGAGUGGCGGACGGGUGAGUAAUGCUUGGGAAUCUGGCUUAUGGAGGGGGAUAACUACGGGAAACUGUAGCUAAUACCGCGUAAAAUCUUCGGAUUAAAGGGUGGGACUUUCGAGCCACCUGCCAUAAGAUGAGCCCAAGUGGGAUUAGGUAGUUGGUUAGGUAAAGGCUGACCAAGCCGACGAUCUCUAGCUGGUCUGAGAGGAUGACCAGCCACACUGGAACUGAGACACGGUCCAGACUCCUACGGGAGGCAGCAGUGGGGAAUAUUGCACAAUGGGGGGAACCCUGAUGCAGCCAUGCCGCGUGAAUGAAGAAGGCCUUCGGGUUGUAAAGUUCUUUCGGUGACGAGGAAGGUUGAUAGGUUAAUAGCCUAUCAAAUUGACGUUAAUCACAGAAGAAGCACCGGCUAACUCCGUGCCAGCAGCCGCGGUAAUACGGGGGGUGCGAGCGUUAAUCGGAAUAACUGGGCGUAAAGGGCACGCAGGCGGUGACUUAAGUGAGAUGUGAAAGCCCCGAGCUUAACUUGGGAAUUGCAUUUCAUACUGGGUCGCUAGAGUACUUUAGGGAGGGGUAGAAUUCCACGUGUAGCGGUGAAAUGCGUAGAGAUGUGGAGGAAUACCGAAGGCGAAGGCAGCCCCUUGGGAAUGUACUGACGCUCAUGUGCGAAAGCGUGGGGAGCAAACAGGAUUAGAUACCCUGGUAGUCCACGCUGUAAACGAUGUCGAUUUGGGGAUUGGGCUUUGAGCUUGGUGCCCGUAGCUAACGUGAUAAAUCGACCGCCUGGGGAGUACGGCCGCAAGGUUAAAACUCAAAUGAAUUGACGGGGGCCCGCACAAGCGGUGGAGCAUGU
rnacentral:rRNA from 1 species